GGACUACAGGGGUAUCUAAUCCUGUUUGCUCCCCACGCUUUCGCACCUCAGCGUCAGUAUUGGCCCAGGUCGCCGCCUUCGCCACUGGUGUUCCUCCCGAUAUCUACGAAUUUCACCUCUACACCGGGAAUUCCGCGACCCUCUUCCAUACUCAAGCGCGCCAGUUUCGUAUGCACUUCCUGGGUUGAGCCCAGGGCUUUCACAUCCGACUUAACGCGCCGCCUACGUGCGCUUUACGCCCAAUGAUUCCGAGCAACGUUUGCACCCUCUGUAUUACCGCGGCUGCUGGCAC
rnacentral:rRNA from 1 species